rnacentral:pre_miRNA from 1 species
CAUUUUUUCGUGUUCAACGUUUAACUAUUCGUCUUAUUUAAAUUUUUUUGUGAUUAAUAUUUUUAUUGUUACUAGACGAUAAAAUAUGAAUAGUAUUUUAUACGUGACUAAUUUUUUUUAAGUUUUUUAUAAAAUUUUUAAAUAAGACGAAUGGUCAAACGUUGGAUACGAAAAAAC